CCUACGGGGGGCGGCAAUUAGGAAUCUUGCGCAAUGGGCGAAAGCCUGACGCAGCGACGUCGCGUGACCGAUGAAGUCUUUCGGGAUGUAAAGGUCUUUUUUGGGGGAAGAAGGAUGUGACGGUACCCCAAGAAUAAGCCCCGGCUAACUACGUGCCAGCAGCCCCGGUC
rnacentral:rRNA from 1 species